UGAUCAACUUGUGUUUUGCAUGGUUUUUGGUCAACUGUUGUUGUUGUUUCAAGGGCACAUGUACGUGUAUAUCAUCUGUUUGGCAUGUUUUGCUUUUUCUCACUUAUUGAGUCUAGUCUGCUAUUUGUAUUGGUCCUUAAUGUUGGGAUUCGAAAGUUAAAAAAACUCUAUUUGGUUCUACUUGUGAGAUAGUGUUUUCUGGGUUUACUUCAAUGGAUUGGUCCAGUGAUAGUAGAACUAUUGAGGUGUGCCUUUUACGUACACCAGGAGUUAGCUGGAUACUUUAUGAUAUGCAGUUGCAUGUGGAUUAUCA